UGUCAGUCACCAAGAUCGGUUUUUUGUUGUUUGUGUGAGAGGUGCUUCAUUAGAUCGAAGCCAUGUUCAAACCAAAGACUUCAAAAUUAGUAUUUUGCUGCUUCUCCGCCAAGUACAUUGCAUUCACAGCCUAAACGCUGACCGAUCUGUAAUAACGGUGGCUUGUAUACAUGCGGACAGUUUUCAUAUGAGCUAUCUAUUUCUGUUAAUAUUCUGUAUGAGUUU
rnacentral:lncRNA from 1 species